AAAACUCAAAUGAAUUGACGGGGGCCCACACAAGCGGUGGAGCAUGUGGUUUAAUUCGAUGCAACGCGAAGAACCUUACCUACUCUUGACAUCCUGCGAACUUGUGAGAGAUCACUUGGUGCCUUCGGGAACGCAGAGACAGGUGCUGCAUGGCUGUCGUCAGCUCGUGUUGUGAAAUGUUGGGUUAAGUCCCGUAACGAGCGCAACCCUUGUCCUUAUUUGCCAGCGGGUAAUGCCGGGAACUAUAAGGAGACUGCCGGUGACAAACCGGAGGAAGGUGGGGACGACGUCAAGUCAUCAUGGCCCUUACGAGUAGGGCUACACACGUGCUACAAUGGCCGGUACAAAGGGUUGCGAGCUCGCGAGAGUCAGCUAAUCCCGAAAAGCCGGUCUCAGUCCGGAUCGGAGUCUGCAACUCGACUCCGUGAAGUCGGAAUCGCUAGUAAUCGUGAAUCAGAAUGUCACGGUGAAUACGUUCCCGGGCCUUGUACACACCGCCCGUCACACCAUGGGAGUGGACUGCACCAGAAGUGGUUAGCCUAACGCAAGAGGGCGAUC
rnacentral:rRNA from 1 species